rnacentral:rRNA from 1 species
CUUACUGUCUCCUCUUUCUAAUCAGUGAAACUGAUCUUCCCGUGAAGAAGCGGGAAUAAAUCUAUAAGACGAGAAGACCCCAUGGAGCUUUAAGCUAGCUUCACAUCUGUUUUGUACGCCCUUUGAUUAAACAGAGCACUGCCUGCUUAGCUUUAGGUUGGGGUGACCGCGGAAUAUAACACAACUUCCGCGAUGUGCAACUAUUUUCCUAUCUAAGAAUUACUAUUCUAAGAAUUAGCAUUCUAACAUACAAUGAUCCGAUAAUCGAUCAACGGACUAAGUUACCCUGGGGAUAACAGCGCAAUCCAUUUCAAGAGCCCCUAUCGACAAAUGGG